GUGGGGAAUUUUGGACAAUGGGGGCAACCCUGAUCCAGCAAUGCCGCGUGCAGGAAGAAGGCCUUCGGGUUGUAAACUGCUUUUGUACGGAACGAAACGGUCCUGGUUAAUACCUGGGGCUAAUGACGGUACCGUAAGAAUAAGCACCGGCUAACUACGUGCCAGCAGCCGCGGUAAUACGUAGGGUGCAAGCGUUAAUCGGAAUUACUGGGCGUAAAGCGUGCGCAGGCGGUUUUGUAAGACAGGCGUGAAAUCCCCGGGCUCAACCUGGGAAUGGCGCUUGUGAAUGGAAAGCUGGAGUGCGGCAGAGGGGGAUGGAAUUCCGCGUGUAGCAGUGAAAUGCGUAGAUAUGCGGAGGAACACCGAUGGCGAAGGCAAUCCCCUGGGCCUGCACUGACGCUCAUGCACGAAAGCGUGGGGAGCAAACAGGAUUAGAAACCCUGGUAGUCC
rnacentral:rRNA from 1 species